UUAGUGUCUGUGUUGCCAACCAGGCACCCCCAUAACAAAUCACCCCUCUUCAACUGAAAUAUCGACAAUGUUCUUCAGCCCGGGCACUGAUUUGAGAUUUGGCUCUUCUGAUAUGCAAGCCGGCUCCCAACGUUCACCUACAAGAGCCGGCUCUUAGAGCCGACUCGUCCGUGAACGACCCAUCACUACAGUCUCCAACUGCACAGAGAGAGUGGAUGCUCCUGUAUCUCUGUGCUGCUUCUUUCACCUCUAGACUUCUCCAUUCAACUUUUACCACCUCCUGACACCUUUCAUCUGGACUCCUUUAGUGUGUGCGCUUCACUGCCCAAAGUAAGUAGACUUAGUGGAGCCAGAGUGUCUUUGUGUAUUAGUUUAUGCACCUGUUGUAUUCUAUGUAACAAACACUUAUUACCGGCUUACUAACUAUUCAACUGUUAUCAAACUGGUAUUUGGUGUAAUUUAAACUCAGCAAGAAAAGAAAUGUCCCUUUUUCAAGACACUGUCUUUCAAAGAUAAUUCGUAAAAAUCCCAAUAACUUCACAGAUCUUCAUUGUAAAGGGUUUAAACACUGUUUCCCAUGCUUGUUCAAUGAACCAUAAACAAUUAAUGAACAUGCACCUGUGGAACGGUCGUUAAGACACUAACAGCUUACAGACGGUAGGCAAUUAAGGUCACAGUUAUGAAAACUUAGGACACUAAAGAGGCCUUUCUACUGACUCUGAAAAACACCAAAAGAAAGAUGCCUAGGGUAUCAUGACACAAGGCGAGACCCAGAAGCCGACACAGGAGGCAGAUGGUUGGAGUCUUACAAUAUUUAUUCAUCCAAUAGGGUAAAGCAAGAGAAUGGUCGCAGACAGGCAAAGGGUCAAAACCAGUUUGGAGUCCAAAAGGUACCGAAGGGCAGGCAGAAUCAAGGUCAGGGCAGGCAGGAUGAUCAGGCAGGCGGAAAAGUAGUCCUGAGUCAGGCAGGGGUCAAAACCGGGAAGACUAUCAAAAAGAGAAUAAAAAAGGGAGUACGGGAAAAACACACUGGUUGACUUAACUAACAUAAAGACGAACUGGCACAGAGAGACAGGAAACACAAGGAUAAAUACACUGGGGAAAAUAAGCGACACCUAGAGGGGGUGGAGACAAUAACAGGAGCAGGUGAAACAGAUCAGGGCGUGACACAGGGUCCCUACUAGAGGUCGACCGAUAAUGAUUUUUCAACACCGAUACCAAUUAUUGGAGGGCCAAAAAAGCCGCUACCGAUUAAUCGGCCAAUUUUUUACACAAUGUAUUUAUUUGUAAUAAUGACAAUUACAACAAUACUGAAUGAACACUUAUUUUAACUUAAUAUAAUACAUCAAUAAAAUCAAUUUAGCCUCAAAUAAAUAAUGAAACAUGUUCAAUUUGGUUUAAAUAAUGCAAAACAAAGUGUUGGAGAAGAAAGUAAAAGUGCAAUAUGUGCCAUGUAAGAAAGCUAACGUUUAAGUGCCUUGCUCAGAACAUGGGAACAUAUGAAGGCUGGUGGUUCCUUUUAACAUGAGUCUUCAAUAUUCCCAGGUAAGAAGUUUUAGGUUGUAGUUAUUAUAGGAAUUAUAGGACUAUUUCUCUAUACGAUUUGUAUUUCAUAUACCUUUGACUAUUGGAUGUUCUAAUAGGCACUUUAGUAUUGCCAGUGUAACAGUAUAUCUUCCGUCCCUCUCCUCGCUCCUACCUGAGCUCGAACCAGAAACACAUCGACAACACCCACCCUCGAAGCAGCGUUACCCAUGCAGAGCAAGGGGAACAACUACUCCAAGUCUCAGAGCGAGUGACGUUUGAAACGCUAUUAGCGCGCACCCCACUAACUAGCUAGCCAUUUCACAUCGGUUACACCAGCCUAAUCUUGGGAGUUGAUAGGCUUGAAGGGGUGGGUAUAAUUUGUGGAACGUUCCAACAGGAAUCUGUUCCAAAAAACAUAAA
rnacentral:lncRNA from 1 species